rnacentral:rRNA from 1 species
GCCCUUGAGUUUGAUCCUGGCUCAGGACGAACGCUGGCGGCGUGCUUAACACAUGCAAGUCGAACGGAGAUUUUAUUUCGGUAAAAUCUUAGUGGCGAACGGGUGAGUAACGCGUAGGCAACCUGCCUUUUAGUUGGGGACAACACUCCGAAAGGGGUGCUAAUACCGAAUGUGAUCCUUUGGCCGCAUGACCGAAGGAUGAAAGAUGGCCUCUAUUUAUAAGCUAUCGCUAAAAGAUGGGCCUGCGUCUGAUUAGCUAGUUGGUGAGGUAACGG